AGAUUGAACGCUGGCGGAAUGCUUUACACAUGCAAGUCGAACGGCAGCACGGGACUCAGGCAACUGAGCCCUGGUGGCGAGUGGCGAACGGGUGAGUAACAUAUCGGAACGUACCCAGUCGUGGGGGGAUAACUCUCCGAAAGGAGAGCUAAUACCGCAUACGUCCUGAGGGAGAAAGCGGGGGACCUAAGGGUAACUGAGGGCCUCGCGCGAUUGGAGCGGCCGAUAUCGGAUUAGCUAGUUGGUGAGGUAAAGGCUCACCAAGGCGACGAUCCGUAGCGGGUCUGAGAGGACGACCCGCCACACUGGAACUGAGACACGGUCCAGACUCCUACGGGAGGCAGCAGUGGGGAAUUUUGGACAAGUAGGGGGCAACCCGUGAUCCAGCCAUUCCGCGUGAGUGGAAGAAGGUCCGUUCGGUUGUAAGCUUCUUC
rnacentral:rRNA from 1 species